CAGUGUUUCUGACUGCCAUGUGGAAGAGCAGGGUUCAGUUACCAGUACAACCAAGGUGGACUGAAAUGAAGUUUUCUCAGCCCCAUGACAAGGCAGCCUGUCGGCAUCAAACAGUCCUCUAGUGGUGAAGGAAGACUCGACACCAGAAGCAGAAACACAUUCAGAACUCCAUCCUGCUGGCUUCACGUACAACAGCACGAGCUGUGAGCCCUACUACCUUGACAUAAGUCAGAAUGAGAGAAACGAGUUUGUUGCAGUGCUUAGAAGAAUGCCUGUAGGGACCCUCUAUUUCCCUAGAGAGUCACUGACGUUAUGUGAGAACGAAGAAUGCAUAUAUAAAGGCACACUGCAUUCAGAAGCAGAUUGUAUGAAGUACAUGAUAAGAACAGAAACCCAAAGAACUGUGCUCGUACAUGUAAUAGAACCAAAUGUGCCGCUGAGCUUAUGUCACAAUAAUCAGUGUUUCUUGAACGGAAAAUACCAUUUUGCUGGGCAGUGUUUGCACAUCCAGUUAAUGCCAAUGGAAAGUAUUAAAAAUAACCAGGGUCUUACCACAACUACUGGAGAGUGAACCAUUUCUGAGGGUUCUGGAAAAUAACACCAGCAAGAAGAGGAAUGCAACAGAGUUCGAAUGUACAAUUCAGUCAUGUUUCAUUUCCUUGAUAUUUUCUAUUAUCCUCUGUAUUUUGUUGUAAACAGUGGCUUCUUACGAUGUUACUAGAAUAAUUGAUAGUAUGUAGUUGACUUACCUACUGGGUUGAAAUUAUUCUCUUACCAUGCUGUACAUUUAUAUUGGUACUGCAUUUCAGUAUUUCAUGACAGGCAAUUUUACAAUUGCAAUGAAAGGGCUUGAAGAGCAACAUACGUUAUUACUUC